UACAGAGGAGGCAAGCGUUAUUCGGAAUUAUUGGGCGUAAAGGGCGCGUAGGCGGCCAUUCAAGUGACGGGUGAAAGCCCCGGGCUCAACCUGGGAACUGCAUUUGAAACUGGCGGGCUUGAGUGUGGCAGAGGGGGGUGGAAUUCCGCGUGUAGCAGUGAAAUGCGUAGAGAUGCGGAGGAACACCGAUGGCGAAGGCAGCCCCCUGGGCCAACACUGACGCUCAGGCACGAAAGCGUGGGGAGCAAACAGG
rnacentral:rRNA from 1 species